GACGAACGCUGGCGGCGUGCUUAACACAUGCAAGUCGAACGGAAAGGCCCUGCUUUUGUGGGGUGCUCGAGUGGCGAACGGGUGAGUAACACGUGAGUAACCUGCCCUUGACUUUGGGAUAACUUCAGGAAACUGGGGCUAAUACCGGAUAGGAGCUCCUGCUGCAUGGUGGGGGUUGGAAAGUUUCGGCGGUUGGGGAUGGACUCGCGGCUUAUCAGCUUGUUGGUGGGGUAGUGGCUUACCAAGGCUUUGACGGGUAGCCGGCCUGAGAGGGUGACCGGCCACAUUGGGACUGAGAUACGGCCCAGACUCCUACGGGAGGCAGCAGUGGGGAAUAUUGCACAAUGGGCGGAAGCCUGAUGCAGCAACGCCGCGUGCGGGAUGACGGCCUUCGGGUUGUAAACCGCUUUCGCCUGUGACGAAGCGUGAGUGACGGUAAUGGGUAAAGAAGCACCGGCUAACUACGUGCCAGCAGCCGCGGUGAUACGUAGGGUGCGAGCGUUGUCCGGAUUUAUUGGGCGUAAAGGGCUCGUAGGUGGUUGAUCGCGUCGGAAGUGUAAUCUUGGGGCUUAACCCUGAGCGUGCUUUCGAUACGGGUUGACUUGAGGAAGGUAGGGGAGAAUGGAAUUCCUGGUGGAGCGGUGGAAUGCGCAGAUAUCAGGAGGAACACCAGUGGCGAAGGCGGUUCUCUGGGCCUUUCCUGACGCUGAGGAGCGGAAGCGUGGGGAGCGAACAGGCUUAGAUACCCUGGUAGUCCACGCUGUAAACGGUGGGUACUAGGUGUGGGGUCCAUUCCACGGGUUCCGUGCCGUAGCUAACGCUUUAAGUACCCCGCCUGGGGAGUACGGCCGCAAGACUAAAACUCAAAGGAAUUGACGGGGCCCCGCACAAGCGGCGGAGCAUGCGGAUUAAUUCGAUGCAACGCGUAGAACCUUACCUGGGUUUGACAUGGAUCGGGAGUGCUCAGAGAUGGGUGUGCCUCUUUUGGGGUCGGUUCACAGGUGGUGCAUGGCUGUCGUCAGCUCGUGUCGUGAGAUGUUGGGUUAAGUCCCGCAACGAGCGCAACCCUUGUUCACUGUUGCCAGCACGUUAUGGUGGGGACUCAGUGGAGACCGCCGGGGUCAACUCGGAGGAAGGUGGGGAUGACGUCAAGUCAUCAUGCCCCUUAUGUCCAGGGCUUCACGCAUGCUACAAUGGCUGGUACAGAGAGUGGCGAGCCUGUGAGGGUGAGCGAAUCUCGGAAAGCCGGUCUCAGUUCGGAUUGGGGUCUGCAACUCGACCUCAUGAAGUCGGAGUCGCUAGUAAUCGCAGAUCAGCAACGCUGCGGUGAAUACGUUCCCGGG
rnacentral:rRNA from 1 species